rnacentral:rRNA from 1 species
CCCAGACUCCUACGGGAGGCAGCAGUGAGGAAUAUUGGUCAAUGGGCGGGAGCCUGAACCAGCCAAGUCGCGUGAGGGAAGACGGCCCUACGGGUUGUAAACCUCUUUUGUCGGGGAGCAAAGCGAACCACGUGUGGUUCAUUGAGAGUACUCGAAGAAAAAGCAUCGGCUAACUCCGUGCCAGCAGCCGCGGUAAUACGGAGGAUGCGAGCGUUAUCCGGAUUUAUUGGGUUUAAAGGGUGCGCAGGCGGAAGAUCAAGUCAGCGGUAAAAUUUCGGGGCUCAACCCCGUCGUGCCGUUGAAACUGGCGUUCUUGAGUGAGCGAGAAGUAUGCGGAAUGCGUGGUGUAGCGGUGAAAUGCAUAGAUAUCACGCAGAACUCCGAUUGCGAAGGCAGCAUACCGGCGCUCAACUGACGCUCAUGCACGAAAGCGUGGGUAUCGAACAGGAUUAGAUACCCCGGUAUC